GAGGGUAGGCCCCUCGGAGUCGGCUUGCAGGAGCAGGCUCCAAACCACCUCAAGCUGCAUAGGUUAAGAGCCUUUUGUGGUGAGCGUUGAGGGAAAGUCAUAGCAUAAGACUAUGGCGAGG
rnacentral:ncRNA from 1 species